AGGUUGUGGUCAAGAUUGAUUACUUUAUUAUGUAUGAAUUGCCAAAAGGAUAUGGCACAUGAGCCCAGAUGAUGGGCUGCAUCUUGACGGCACCAAGCUGGGGCAGCUUGGGCAUGGGUGCAGCAGCUGGGGCUCUGUGUGCCCCUGCAGGGCUCUCUCCCACAGUCCUCUCAGGCUGCAUGAACGCCCCAAGACCUCCGUUUCCUGAUCCGUGAGAUGGGACUAAAGAAAACCAACUAUUUUGAUGGGACUGCAGUGAGAGCUAAAGGGAUGAGAAUUUCAAUUUGAAUGAGGCCAAAGGUCAGGGAAGCCUCAAGGAGGAGAAGGAAGAAGCAUAAAAGAAAGUCCCCAGGCUCUGGACCUCUGGGUCCCGUUCAUUUCCAGGCCCAGAGCACAGAGGCACUUGGUAGAUGCUUGUGGAAUGAAUGUCCAGAUCUUCAACUACUCUAAUCUAAAACACUCUUUAUGGAAGAUAAGGCCAUCGCUACCGAAGGAAUAAAAUGCUUCCCCAGGUCACAGUGGAGAGACCAGAUCAAUGUCACCCCAGGAUGGAGGUGAAAUCAAGCUGAGUGUGAUGGACAGGGAGCAGACAGGUGCGCUCUGCGGAGCUUCUGUGGGCCAGGCUGUGCCUCAGCUCCCAUGGUGACCUUGGGUACUGUUUGGUACUUGUCAGUUGUUAGGUAAAGCUGUUGGAUGCUAUUUGGGGUUUGUGUAUUAUGCCAUUUAUAUUGAGUUUGGGGAUGUCCUCAAUGCUGCUUUGACUCCAUUAUCCAAUCCUUGUGAAUUAACCAUGGGCUCUCUCUUCCUUUCAGCUCCAUUGCGUUCCUUAUGCUGGUGACGCUUUUGUCUACCUCAUUUGAGCCCUGUUCGGUCUUGGGUUGGAGUCAGGACUGAGCAGUUGCUUUGAGUUGAGGCCAGGUUUGUGGGUCACCAUGUCUGCCUCCACCCCAUGGAAUGUGAGGGUCAGAUGCCAACAACUACAUAAAACAUCACACUUUCAAAACCUGGACUGGAUCCUUGGCUCUUCAACAUUUAAUACCCUAAAAAUAACUCUGGCAGGCAAUCAGACACACACCAACAGAAGACAACAACCACACACAAAAAAAUUAGUAGAUAAAUCAGUGCUCUCAUUGGAAGUCAUCUGGUCCAGCCCUCUGCCUCUUGCAGAUUGUCUCGGGCUCUGUCUCAGAAUGGUAGAAACCUGCUCUCUUUAUCAGGCCUUGUCCACUGUCUCUUCCACCAGUGUCCCCAUGGGCAUGGCAGGGGCAGACACAUUGUUCUGACAGCACAGCCCUUUGGCUUGCCUUUGGGCUGGGAGCUUCCAGCUGGUCUCUCAGAAGCCCCUCGUCUCGCCCUCCCCUCCCUGGCAAAUGUCUCUUUAAUACUUGCCCAUGAUCAGCUUCCUAGAGCACCCAGAGCUUUUAUUUUCUCCCCACGCACAUUAUCUAUUUGUCCAAUUCAUCCCGAAAUAGCCAGGCCCAGCCAUCCCAUAAUACCCAGUUCCUGUGUCACUCAACACCGGCCCGGCAGGAGCUCCGAGCUCUUCUUCCUGUCCCUUUCUCUUCUUUAAUAAGCGCACCCGGGCUUCCGUCAAUGCCUUUCCUCCGGAUUCAUGAGUUUGCUGCUUCUGCAGCAGCGGCAGAUCCUGGCAGAUAAAUCUCCCCUGGAGCUGUCAGCACAGGCAGAGGGGAGCGGCUGAGCCAGCCUGGGGCGGGGGGUGACUGUGGAGAUGCCGGAUUUAUCACCACCCGGUCCCACUGGGUGCCCUCUCCUUGACCUUCAGGGUGACCCAGAGGCCAGUGUUUGGUUUUUGCUGGGAGGGAUCCAGAAGUCAAAGGUGCUCCCCUCCCCAGCCCUCGUCCUUGGUGACAGAUGAAGAGCCCGGCCCAGGGACAUGGGAGGUGAGGGGCCCUUUGGCUCCCCAAGGAAGGUGUGACCGUGCUGCUGGCCUCAUGGAGGACUCACUGCCACUGCCACCGAGGGAAGCAUGCUGAUUUCUAGCUGCCCUCAGGGUCACUCUGGGUUAAUUUUAGCUGCUUCCAUGCCCCCCAGAUGGGCCACACAUUUUUCCUCCUUAACCACGUCCGAGGCUCUCCUCCCGCGCAGCCUCAGCGCCUUCCCAAGCACAAUUGAGACAUGUGCUUAUGACAGUGUUUCCAUGAAGACAGAUCGCUCUCCCUCCAAGGUCAAAGCUCCCGCUGGCCAGGCUCUUCAGCAAACAAUUCGUCAAACAGGGCAGCGGGCAGCAGGCAGGCAGCUCUCAGGCCCCUGGCUGGUGGAUGCAUCAGAAAACCUUUCAGAGCCUUGUUGGGCCCUACAGAACUUCCUCCCUCAUGCUGUCUGUCGGUGCCUCCCCUGCCGCCCCUCCGGCGCCCCCCAGCACAGGGGGAUGAGUUGGCACAAUACCGGGAAUGAUGACAGGGACCCCAGAAGGCAAAACAAAUCGUCCUGCAGAAAUUGGGAGAUUUCUCAGCCAUUGUACAAGGCAAGAAUCAUGGUUCCUCAUGGGGUUUAAAGUGCAGAAGAGGGAAGAUCACAUGCUGUGCCUGUCUGUUUGCUUGUCUGGCUCACAGCACACCCGCAAGGAGCAUCUGAACCCAGCACAGUGGCUGGCACCCAGUGGGCGCUCCUUUAAUGCCUUUAUCCGUUUGUUUACCAACUGCUUAUUACACUCCUGCUAUUACUCUGGCACAUGAGCCCUGUCCUCCUGGAACCCACAGUCUUGGGGACAGGGUCAGACAAUAAGGAAGUAAAAGAAAUAAAUGGGAGUGAAGGGACUGUGGGGAGUGUGACAGAGGUUACUAUGGGGUUCCCAAUGAUUCUGCUUCCUCGUAGGUAGCCUUGCCUUGGUGGAUUGUUCUUCCUGUGGUGUGGAAUGGGGCCAGUGAUCAUUUCUAAAGAACACAACAAGUGAAAUAAGCCAGACACAGAAUGACAAGUGCCAUAUUUUCUCACGCAUGUCCAUAUCAGGUGCACAAGCCCUACCAGAGGUCCAAGUGCUGACAAAUGAGCUGAUGUCUGCAGGCGAGAACCAGCAAGGACUUGAGGCUGGUCGGCAGCCACAUGAAUGAGCUUGGAGAUGACCCCAGCCUUGGCCAGCGCCAAGAGGCCCUAAGCAGAGGACGCAGCUCAGUCCACAUGGAUCCUUGAUCCCAUGGAGACUGUAAGAGGGUGAAUGUUUGUUUGUAAGCAACUCCAUUUGGGGAUAAUUUUUAAGUGCAUGGAUUUGAUUACCAACACAGGUGUCAAAUGGAGUUUUCUGAUGCGAGAUUUACAGAGGAGACCCUGCUUCCUUAAGUGCAGCGGCCAGGAAGGGCCUUCCGAGGGCAACGUGUGUAUGGUGAGGAUUGAAGGACUAGGAGCCCCAUCUCCCAUAAAGGUAGGAUAGCACCCCAGGUGCGGGGAGCAGCCCGUGUGGAUGCUGUCCCGCAGGAAAGGGGACAAGAGUCGAGGCUGGAGAGUCGUACCCAGGCCCCUGCCGGCCCUUUCAUUCUCACUGUCCUCACAUCUCAGCUCAGUGUUGAAAAGCAGGCAGGAGUGUCCCCAUCACAUCACUGAGGCAGAGUGCUGUCAGAUCACCCAGCCGGGGAGGAGCAGGGCUUAGAUUCAAGUGCGGGUUUUCUGAGUCUGGAACCCGUGUGAUUUUUCGCCUCUCAGAAUCAGCCAUUUCCGGGCACAUCUGCUCCCCUGCGCUGAUGCAGCUCACCAUUCGGAGGCAGCGAUGCUGGCCGCUCACGUCCUGGCCGAGGCUUUCCUUAAGUGUUCAUCAUAGAGACUCAGCCAGGCAGCUGGGGCUGGGGAUGGGGUGGGGGCGGAGGAAGGGCUUGUUACUUUGUACCCAUUCAAGACCAGAAAGUGAAGUCUAGCCAGGGUAAGUGACAAGCACAAGGUGUUUUGGGUCCCAGCCAUCCACGCGGGAGACGCCCGGAUGGAGUUCCUGACUCUUGGCAUCCGGCUGUGAGUUCUGCUUGUUGUGGGCAUUUGGGCAAUGGGAGCUCUGUCCAUCUGUCUGUCUGUGUCUCUUGCCUUUUCAAAUAAAAUGGAAGUAAAUAAAUAAGUAUUUUGAAAAACUCGAUUUUUAGGGAUCAUUGUUGCUCAGUUCUUGGCACUUACAUAUACUGCAAAGCUUGCCCAGCUGCUGAAUCUGGGCUCAUUAUUUAUGCCACAUGAAUGUCUUUAACUCCAUGGUUUUCACCAUUGACUUUGUUUCAAUGAGUAGACUUUCUGCUUUAUUGCUCGUAAGAGCUUAAGAAAUGACCAAAACUUGCAGGACUACUUGUAUCUCUCAAUUCAAGCAAUUUACCUUUUAUUGAGCUUCUGAACUUUCACCAUCAUUUUUUAAAAAGAUUUUAUUUAUUUAUUUGACAGGUAGAGUUACAGACAGUGAGAGAGACAGACAGAGAAAGGUCUUCCUUCCUUUGGUUUACUCCCCAAAUGGCCACAAUGGCUGGAGCUGCACCGAUCCGAAGUCAGGAGCCAGGUGCUUCCUCCUGGUCACCCAUGUGGGUGCAGAGGCCCAAGCACUUGGAUCAUCUUCCAUUGCUAUCUCAGGCCAUAGCACAGAGCUGGACUGGAAGAGGAGCAAUCGGGACUAGAACUGGCGUCCAUAUGGGAUGCCAGCGCCGCAGGCGGAGGAUUAAUGCAGUGCACCACGGUGCAGCCCCUACCAUCAUUUUUUUUUUUUUUUAGGAUUUGUCCUAUUUAUUUGAAAGAGUUACACAGAGAGGUAGAACGAGAGAGAGAGAGAGAGAGAGAGAGAGAGAGAGAGAGAGAGAAGCUUUCCUUCUACUGGUUCACUCCCCAGUUGGCUACAAUGGCCAGAGCUGGGCUGAUCUGAAGCCAGGAGCCAGGAGCUUCUUCCAGGUCUCUCACAUGGGAGCAGGGGCCUAAGGACUUGGGCCAUCCUCUGCUACUUUCCCAGGUGCAUUAGUAGGGAGCUGGAUCAGAAGUGGAGCAGCUGGGACUGGAACUGGUGCCCAUAUGGAAAUGCCGGCACUGCAGGCUGGGGCUUUACCUGCUACACCACAGCGCCAGCCCCCUCUCAGCAUCCUUUUACUUUUAAUUUACACAUGGCUUGCACAGAGCUGUCAGAUUUUCUUGUCCCAGUUAGGGGUCACCUGCUGUGCUCUUGCAUGGCACCCCAUUAUCUCCUCCUCAGCUCUUACCACGUGUGUAACUAUACACAGUUGUCUCCCAGAGUCCAUGGGGGAGAUGGGUCUCAGGACCCCUGUAGACGCCUGUGGAUGCCCAGGUCCAUUACACAGUGCAGUAUUUUCGUGGAACCCCCACGCAUCUGCCCCAUACAUCUCCAGAUGACUUCCCUCAAUAUGAAUGCCAUAUAAACAGCUGCUGUGCUGUGUUGUUGACACUGUGUGAUGACAACACAACACUGGUACAUGUUCAGCACAGAUGCAAGUUUCUGGAAUAUGUUUGAGUCAUAGUUGGCUGACUAUGUAAACGCAAGACCCUCAGACACAGAGGGCUAAGUGUGUUAGCUCAGGGGUCAGCUAACUCAGUGUCCAUCUCCCCCACUCAGCUGCAAGUCCUCUGCCGGCAAAGCGAGCCGACUUGGAGCUGACUGUUGGAUCUCUGUCUAGGGAACGGUGGGGACCCAGUGCAUUUUGUUGAAUGAGAAGGACGCAAUCUCACCCAUCACAAAGGUCUGUGUAGAAAAGCCGCUGGACCGUAGGCCAGGGUCAGUUGGGAGGGGUGGGAGCGGCAUCUCACUAGAACAACUCGGAUACAGCAAUAGGCCAGGGUCAGAUGGGAGGGGUGGGAGCGGCAUCUCACUAGAACAACUCGGAUACAGCAAUGGCAAUCACAUAGCAAUGAGUAUUUACUGAGCACUUAUUUUUUUCCAGGUUUUAAGUAUGUUAAUUUGUUUGAAACAAUAGUUUAGACACAGUUAUUUUAAUACAGAUUUUUUUCACAUGUAGAUGAUGAGGUGAAUUGUCCUGGUUUGCUUGAGAUUGUCCAGUUUUUUGUUUUGGAAGCAGGAUGGAGAGAGAGAGAGAGAGAGAGAGAGAUUGAUUGAUUGAUUGAUUUCCCAUCUGCUGGUUCAUUCCCCAAGUGCCUGCAUCAGGCAGGUCUGAGCCAGGCUGAAGUCUGGAACCUGGAACUCAGUCUGGAUCUCCUACAUGGAUGGCAGGGACUGAAGUACCUUAGCUAUUAGCGGCUGCUGUGCAAAGUACAGGAAACUGGAAUCAAAAUUUGAGCUGGGACUUGAAUCAAGCACUGAUAUGGGAUGUGUGUGUCCCCACUAACAUCUUUUGUUUUUUAAAGAUGUAUUUAUUUAUUUGAAAGUCAGAGUUACACAGAGAGAGGAGAGACAGAGAGAGAGAGAGAUUGAGAGAGAGAGAGAGAGAUAUUUCCAUCUGCUGGUUCACUCCCCAAUUGGCCUCAAUGGCCAGAGAUGAGCUGAUCCAAAGCCAGGAGCCAGGUGCCCCUUCCAGGUCUUCCUUGUGGGUGCAGGGGCCCAAGGACUUGGGCCAUCUUCUACUGCUUUCCCAGGACAUACCAGAGAGCUGGAUUGGAAGUGGAGCAGCCAGGGUUUUGUUUUUUUUUUUUUUCAGCCAGGUCUUGAACCGGCACCCAUAUGGGAUGUCAGCACUUCAGGUUAGAGCAUUAACCUGCUGUGCUACAGUGCUUCCACCUCCCCCCCCCCCCAACAACAUCUAAACCACUGCUUCAAAUAUCUGCCUUGGGAUUGUCUAGUCUUUUUUUUUUAAGUUUUUAUUUAUUUAUUUAUUUGAGAGGCAGAGUUACAGACAGAGAGAGGGAGAGACAGAGAGAGAGAGAGAGAGAUCUUCCAUCCACUGGUUCACUUCCCAAAUGGCCGCAAUGGCUAAAGCUGAGCCAAUCCAAAGCCAGGAGCCAGGAGCUUCUUAUAGGUCUCCUACUCAGGUGCAGGGGCCCAGGUACUUGGGCCAUCUUCUACUGCAUUCCCAGGCUGUAGCAAACAGCAAUAUCAGAAGAGGAUCAACCGGGACUCAAACUGGUGCCCAUAUGUGAUGCCGACACCACAGCUCCAGGCCCCAAAUGGUCUAGUUUUAAAACUGAAAGUCUCUAACCUUCCAGAAACCAGCCCUCAGGCUCAGGCCAAGCAGGAUGGUUGGUCAUAGUGGUGCGGGAAAACAGCCUGCGCACUGUAGCAAAAAAGAUGGGAUUUAUAAGAGUGAGGAGAGAGAAGAGCAAGAUAAAAAACAGCAGCAACCUGGGAACAGUGAAUCUUGUCCGCAUCUGGCCGUGUGUGUGGGUUGGGGGCGGUGGGGGUGGCUAAACUGAUGAGUUAGCAACCAGCGAAAGCCAUGCCGCGCCUCCUGUCCUUGAGCAGAACGGAGGGGUGUUGGAGGAGGCAGUUUCAGCUUGUUCUGGUUUCUCCAGGAAACCCCGAGUGGAGCUGUGCACGGGGUGUGUCUCGUGGGCUGGGUCCUCGUAGCAGCGCCCACACCAGGCCUUCACCGUCCCCCUUCUGGGGAUUUCUGAAUGGAGGGUGCUCAGUACUGCGGCUUUGGGAACACAAGCAGGAGCCCUCAGCUCCGAGAUGAAGCAAGAAGAAUCCUCAGGCCGGCACCGCGGCUCACUAGGCUAAUCCUCCACCUAGCGGCGCCGGCACACCGGGUUCUAGUCCCGGUCGGGGCGCCGGAUUCUGUCCCGGUUGCCCCUCUUCCAGGCCAGCUCUCUGCUGUGGCCCGGGAGUGCAGUGGAGGAUGGCCCAAGUGCUUGGGCCCUGCACCCCAUGGGAGACCAGGAGAAGCACCUGGCUCCUGGCUUCAGAUCAGCGCGGUGCGCCGGCCGCAGCGUGCCAGCCGUGGCGGCCAUUGGAGGGUGAACCAACGGCAAAAGGAAGACCUUUCUCUCUGUCUCUCUCUCUCACUGUCCA